rnacentral:rRNA from 1 species
GACGAACGCUGGCGGCGUGCCUAAUACAUGCAAGUCGAGCGGACCCUUCGGGGUUAGCGGCGGACGGGUGAGUAACACGUAGGUAAUCUGCCCAACUGACUGGAAUAACGCCUGGAAACGGGUGCUAAUGCCGGAUAGGCAACUGGUAGGCAUCUACCGGUUGGGAAAGGUGCAACUGCACCGCAGAUGGAGGAGCCCGCGGCGCAUUAGCUAGUUGGUGGGGUAACGGCCUACCAAGGCGACGAUGCGUAGCCGACCUGAGAGGGUGGACGGCCACACUGGGACUGAGACACGGCCCAGACUCCUACGGGAGGCAGCAGUAGGGAAUCUUCCGCAAUGGGCGCAAGCCUGACGGAGCAACGCCGCGUGAGCGAAGAAGGCCUUCGGGUUGUAAAGCUCAGUCACUCGGGAAGAGCGGACGAGGGAGUGGAAAGCCCUCGUCGAGACGGUACCGAGAGAGGAAGCCCCGGCUAACUACGUG